UACGAAGGGGGCUAGCGUUGCUCGGAAUUAUUGGGCGUAAAGAGCUCGUAGGCGGUUUGUCGCGUCUGCUGUGAAAACGCGAGGCUCAACCUCGCGCCUGCAGUGGGUACGGGCAGACUAGAGUGCGGUAGGGGAGAUUGGAAUUCCUGGUGUAGCGGUGGAAUGCGCAGAUAUCAGGAGGAACACCGAUGGCGAAGGCAGAUCUCUGGGCCGUAACUGACGCUGAGGAGCGAAAGCGUGGGGAGCGAACAGG
rnacentral:rRNA from 1 species